CGGGGGGGGCAAGCGUUGUUCGGAAUUAUUGGGCGUAAAGGGUUCGUAGGUGGCCGGCUAAGUCAGACGUGAAAUCCCUCAGCUUAACUGGGGAACUGCGUCUGAGACUGGUCGGCUUGAGUGCAGGAGAGGAACGCGGAAUUCCAGGUGUAGCGGUGAAAUGCGUAGAUAUCUGGAGGAACACCGGUGGCGAAGGCGGCGUUCUGGACUGCUACUGACACUGAGGAACGAAAGCCAGGGGAGCAAACGGGAUUAGAUACCCCGGUAGUCCUGGCCCUAAACGAUGAAUGCUUGGUGUGGUGGGUAUCGAUCCCUGCCGUGCCGAAGUUAACGCGUUAAGCAUUCCGCCUGGGGAGUACGGUCGCAAGGCUG
rnacentral:rRNA from 1 species